rnacentral:sRNA from 1 species
AGUGGUGGAAGACAUGGGGUCUGUUUUUGAUGAGGAUUUCAGGAGUUGAAACAUAAGUGAAAUAGUAUCCUACAAAAGGCUUUGAACUAUUGAUAAAUUAAUUCAAGAUCUUACCAGUUUAUAAGGCAGUCAUAUAAAGAGAUACAAAUUUUGGUAUUUUUAUAAUUUUAUUUAAGUUUGAGUCUUCAUGGAAAACCUGACACAUGGGGGGAAAUGUCUUUUGAUAACUUUAAUUUUUGUUAGUUUGAAGGCAUGCAUAAGAAUGAAGCCAUAAGCCAACAGCUUCAUAUUUUACGGAAGGAAGUGAAGCAGUUGCAAGCAGAAGCUGCUAAACCACCAUCACUUAAUAUUGUGGAAGCUGCUGUACAUGCAGAAAACUUGAUCACGGCCUUAGUGAAUGCCUACAAGUUGCAGCCUACACCUGGGAUUCAGAAAGUUGGCAU